rnacentral:lncRNA from 1 species
AUCCCUUCAAAGCUCUCAGGCAGUUUUACUUGAGCACAGGGAAGUUUGAGUGUUUAGAUCAGAAAGCCCAAGCUUGCUCUCUGCUGUCACUGAGGAGCUUUGAAUGGCUGCAUUGUGAGGCACUGACCAUAAUGUCCUAGCUGGCCAUUGAUCUUUUCAGACACAUUCUUCUAACUGGGGCAUCCUCGUGGCACGAUGAGCAGAAUAAUAAUUGAGGAAGAAAGCAUACUAAAUCAUCCAAAGGCAGCUCCCCUGGUCUCCACGAUGGUUGGAGCAGGGCAGAGGUUUUCUGAGAGGAGCAGCAGCCCCAGGAAGAUAAUAACUGUCAGUCACCAGCAAUCUGCCCUGCAUUUACAGACACAAACAGGAUGCCAGUUUGGGGAGAAGAUGAUAUUUGUACAAAUACCUGGAACAGACACUGACAGUACCAAAAGAGCAUCUGUCUGCUCCUCUUCCUCUGGAAGCUGCAGGCUGCACUGGAGAAGUCCAAGGGUGAGAGAAGCUGCAAAUGGAGAAGGGAAAGGACAUCUGAGAGUCUUCACUAAAUAAUCGGAAGACUGAUGGAUUUCAGACAAAGACAGCAGUUAUAUAAUGCAUUCCUCCUCUGUGAGUAAUCAUAUGCAAAGAUUGACAUGUUUGUGAGUGUUCCCAAAACUGAUCCUGGGCUUACUGUGGCCGUUCCUGCAUGAAAAAAACAUCAGUCAGAGGGAAAGAGGAAAAAGAAAGAGAGAGAGGGGGAAAAAAAAAGGAAAGAAGUGUGAUUGUGCUCCUAGGACAACAUCCUGAAUUUUUCCCUGGUGGACCCUUGCCAUUACCAUGGCAAAAUGCCUGGAAACUGCCGUUCUUUUCCACAAAAAAUGUUUUGAAGGAAGAACAAAAGAAGUUUGAGCUUUUGGCAGAUCGUUGAAGAUCACUGUGUUCAGAUCCUGAGCUGGUGUAAAUCAAGAUAACUGCAGUAUUGCUACAGUAGUUAAAAACUGACUGACUCUCCCAUCCAUCAUAGCUUGCUGCUAUGGGGGAAUAUUUCUUUACAGCUUAAAUAGAGGAAGGAAUUGCUUUUACUGCAUGGUGCAUGUUUUCCUGUUAAGAAUAUAUUUCUUAUCCUUAAUUGCUUAAGCUCCCUUGUGCAUGUAGGGUGGUGGUGCCUUCUGUCAUGGAGGCAUUUUCUGUGUGUGACACCUUGCUUUAUUUCUUUGGUUUGCUAGUUGAAUGACAUGUUAAUCUGCUGUGAAGGUGCAUAAUAGGAUCAAUGGGAAUCAGGGCGUAUGUUUUAAAUUAAAAAGAGCUCCUUUCUUUGUCUGAUUCAUGUUUCUGUAUUAUAUCACAGCAUGUGUGGCCAAAGAGUGGUCCCACUAGGCCAGGAUAAGCUGAUGCUGGUCAAUAAUUAAAUAAUAAUCUGUAAAACGGAAAGGCUUUAUGUUUCAGAGUGAAAGGGUGUUCUUGCAGCUAAUGGUGGUCAACAGGUAAGCACCCUGGGACCUCCAUACAUGCAAAAAAAUCACAAUCAUUCAGAUACAAGGGCUUGGAAGUCCAUUUU